CUCUAGAACCCGACGGACCCACCGGUGGGUCCAGCUGAAACAUGACCUCGGCUCGCUCUGUAAACAAAGGCUCCACGUGCCUUUAAUUUUUUUUUUUUAUUAUUAUCCGCUAAAAGAGGCUUUAAUCUUUCAAAAACUAUUCCGCAUAAAGGUUUUGCCCAAAAGGUUAAGAUUUUAGAGCUAUUUAAAAACAGCCGAUGAGAUUUAAAGGUCUUCGGGCGAUGACGCAACUGCCCGGAAAACACCCGAUCAGCUGAUCAUCACGGCCUUUUUGUGGCUUCACGAGACAGUGGAAAGACUCUCAGAGCAUGGCACAAGAUGUCGGCUAUGCAAAAUCAUGACGUAUUUUCCGGAACCCGAUCUAAACGCGUGCGCUCUCCGUGCGCUCUCCGUGCGUUCUCUGUGCGCUCUCGGCGCAUGCGCUCAGUGAAUGGUUCUUUUCGGGAUAGGUUUCGAUUAGCGUAGUUCGAAGCAUUCAAAUAAGGUGUGUACAGUGAGAAUUCUCAUUUCACUUGUGCGUUCUGCGAAAGAACAACGGUUUUUCGAUUUGCUACGAGCGGAGCUAACUCUAGCAAAAAUUAGCUCAACUGCAAUGGCGCAGAGGAAGAUGUCAGAUGUGGAGGCGCUGGAAGAAAUAUUUCGGAGCGAUGUUGAGCUGGAAGACUCUUCUUAUAGCUAGUGGGAUUCGGACGAGGAGGAAGAGGAGAGAGGCAGAGAGGAGAGACCCCCUGAGAGCCGGACACAGCUGACAGACUGCUGACAGACUUGAUCUCGGUGAUGUUCAAGUGGAAGCCGAACCAUCAAGCUCAGAUGGAGCUGAACCUCCCCCCACCUCUCAUGAUUCUUCAUCUUCUUUGAGGUAAGAUGUCCAU